rnacentral:tRNA from 1 species
GGGCGUGUAGCUCAGUGGUAGAGCGCGAUCCUUAUAAGAUCGAUGUCCCAGGUUCGAUCCCUGGCACGCCCA